rnacentral:rRNA from 1 species
ACGCGAUGAACCUUACCAGGUCUUGACAUCCCGCUGCCCGGUAUAGAGAUAUACCUUUCCCUUCGGGGACAGCGGUGACAGGUGGUGCAUGGUUGUCGUCAGCUCGUGUCGUGAGAUGUUGGGUUAAGUCCCGCAACGAGCGCAACCCUUGAUCUUAGUUGCCAGCAUUUAGUUGGGCACUCUAAGGUGACUGCCGGUGACAAACCGGAGGAAGGUGGGGAUGACGUCAAAUCAUCAUGCCCCUUAUGACCUGGGCUACACACGUGCUACAAUGGAUGGUACAAAGGGCAGCGAAGCCGCGAGGUGAAGCGAAUCCCAUAAAACCAUUCUCAGUUCGGAUUGUAGGCUGCAACUCGCCUACAUGAAGCCGGAAUCGCUAGUAAUCGCGGAUCAGCAUGCCGCGGUGAAUACGUUCCCGGGCCUUGCACACACCGCCCGU